rnacentral:tRNA from 1 species
GUGGCUCAGUGGUAGAGCGCUUGCCUUGCAUGCAUGAGGCCCUGGGUUCAAUUAUGUGGCUCAGC